CUUCAAAUUGUGGAUUACAGAUAGGAUAGUACUUGCAUUUCAAACACCCGCUGUCUUCAUUGCAGUUUCGUUGAAUAUAUCGUAAUGAAGUCACCAUGCCUACCUACACAGUACAAGACUGCUGGGGAUCAACCAAUCAAUUCAUUGAACCAGUCAACAGACCUCAUAAGGGAUCAGAUGCAAAGAAAAGGACUGUGUUCCUGUGAAGCAAGGACAAGGGUUGCUCUUGUGGCUAUUUGAAGAAGCAGGCACGAGGAAAAAAUGGUGCUGAAGCACAUCAUAUUGCAGAAACAAUGGCAACCCAACCAGAUGUUCUUGCAACUGAA